UAACCAUCCAGAGCGGCUGAGAGAUCUGGCUCCAAGACGCCGCAGCAACCCGCGCUUAAAAGCGUAAGGUGCUCCAGCCAGAACGAUGGAAG
rnacentral:ncRNA from 2 species